rnacentral:rRNA from 1 species
CCUACGGGUGGCAGCAGUGGGGAAUAUUGCACAAUGGGGGAAACCCUGAUGCAGCGACGCCGCGUGAGUGAAGAAGUACUUCGUUUUGUAAAGCUCUAUCAGCAGGGAAGAAAAUGCCGGUUCCUGAGUAAGAAGCCCCGGAUAACUACGUGACAGCAGCCGCGGUAAGACGUCGGGGGCAAGCGUUCUCCGGAUUUACUGGGUGUAAAGGGAGCGUAGACGGCAGUGCAAGUCUGGAGUGAAAGGCGGGGGCUCAACCCGCGGACUGCUCUGGAAACUGUACGGCUGGAGUGCCGGAGAGGUAAGUGGAAUUCCUGGUGUAGCGGUGAAAUGCGUAGAUAUUAGGAGGAACACCAGUGGCGAAGGCGACUUACUGGACCGUAACUGACGUUGAGGCGCGAAAGCGUGGGGAGCAAACAGGAUUAGAUACCCUUGUAGUC